rnacentral:sRNA from 1 species
AUAAUAAUUUCAUAAUUUUCUAGAAAACAGAAAAAAAAUAGAGUACAAAGAGAUAGAACACUAGAAGUAUAUAAAGAUGCAAUAAUCUCGAUAAGCUAGCGAUACAGCUUUACUAUUGCAUGUUCAGAAAUGUAAGAGACUUGUGUCGCACCACGAAAUAUAGUUUUUAGGGUUUCCGACUUUUGAUAUUCUGGAGCACAUUCGAUUGAUCAGAGCGUAAACAUGUUUUAAGGUCUAAAUUUUGAUUUACAAGGUAUAAUUACGCUAGAUAGGUAGAGAUCGAGUAAGAAAAACACUAAUUUAGAAACAGAUUACUGAACAGUGAUAUGCGGCAUAAAAAACUUAUUAUCAAUUUAAAGCAUGACAAGGAAAUUUUUUCUCAAAACCAUUAUUCUUAUCGAAAUCUAUAGACUAUAGUAUAAUAUAUAGAUGCUUAAAAAAGAUAUAACGUAUCAAGAGAUUCUAUAACUAUAAAAAAAUCUCGCUUUGAUCGU